rnacentral:tRNA from 1 species
CGCGGAGUAGAGCAGUGGUAGCUCAUCGGGCUCAUAACCCGAAGGUCGUAGGUUCGAGUCCUGCCUCCGCCACCA